AGGAGAAGGAGGAGGAAGCAGCGCCUUCGCCUCGGAGAUGCAGCCGGAGAGGGGAGCGAGGAGGAGGGAGAGAGAGAGCAGAGAGGCUCUACAAUAUCCUGAGGCGCCCAGAACGAUGUUAUGUCGUGCUGUAGCAUCCAAGCAGCUCUGCUGCUACUUGUUGCUGAUGUUGCUCCCACUGGACCACGUGACUUCUUGAAAAUCUCUGGAUAUUAAUCCCCUCCCCUCUUUUGUGGCCUGGGAAUGUGAUCUGAAAACCACGGAGGUCCUUUUUUUUUUUGGUCUGGGUGUUAUUUUGUUUUCUUGCGAUAUUAUGCCUCUCUUUGUCCAAAGUGUACCUUUCUCAGGAUCUCCGUCUCAACUCCGGUUUGAUAUUUCAACAUGAAACACUUGAGAAGAAAAGGCAGGUGUUUGGUUAUGACCUGUGGGAACAUGGAACCGGCUCAUUGUUUGGUCACCAAGGUGAUACCCCACUUUAGUCAAGUGUCUCAAGAUCUGCAAGUAGGCCUUCUCGGCAUUUUCACCAUAACUAGCAUUUUUUUUAAAAAAAACACCACCACCACAUACACACACGUUCUGAACAAUAAACUACAUUUUAUUUUUGAUCUACCAG